GGCUGUGGACAAAGCAAUGCAGCAGGCAACUACAGGUGCAAACGACGUUAAUGCCCUACCAUUAGAGAUGCAUCAAAUAAUAACGGUGAUAAAAUUUAGCUGCUGGUAGAGGACUAAGAGUUCUAAUAAACCUAUUGGUUACAUCUGUCAUUUUGUAUAUGAACGAAAAAUUACUUAGAGUGGAAUUCUGAGAAACCUAUCCGCGUUCCUCAUAGUGUGGUAAAAGCGUAAAAGUUACUUUCCUUUUUCUGAUUAUUUUUAGGGCCCAAGCGAACUUCAUUUGACAUGAAUCCACUUUUCCAAACUGUGGCAGCCGUUCUCUAGCCACUCUCCCUUCGCCUUGUAAUGAAUCACAGCGAUGUUGGUUGGAAGACCUCUGGAGGUCUUCCAGUCCAGCCCUUAGAAACAGGGUGGCUGCCAAAGCAAGGUCAGCCACGGCUCUGUCUUGUUGAGUCAUGAAAACCUCCAAAGAUGGAGAUCUCACAGUCUGAUUUACUGCGGGACUUCGCAAGGUAACGUAAAGCGCGAUCUGUGGAAUAUCUUCAGAGUAAUAUUUCUGAAUCAGGUUUUGGCAACUGUUGCCUGGCAAAGGAGCUGCGUUGCCACUUCUGUAUGAAAGAUAAUUGUAGUGUACUGUAAAAGUGGGUUUCGCAUCAUCUAAUUUUAGCUAUAUGUGACUUAGGAGCCUAGCUCGUUAACCAGGAAUCUCCCCCUGUAAUCAGUGACAAGAAAUAAGUACCUCCUAGAAAGCUGCUUGUACCACUGGAGAUGGUUGGGGUGAGUCAUGCUGGGGGAGUGCUGGCUUCUCCCCAGCUUUGACAGGGAGUGCCUCUUCUUUGGUGUCACUCCUGCCUGAUGGCCGUGGCCAGAUGAGAGGAGCUCCUUCCUAACAGGAACAGGGCAGCCUGGGGGCUACACCCACAGCUUGCUUUGGGAAAUUGUCCUAAUUAGAAAAUACUGCAACAAACCACAGCCAGAGCAUUCAUUGUCUAUCAUAGCCAUCAACACCUUUUUCAAGCACUUCCCUCAUGUUCUUUCUCUCCUUGUUUGGACUUUUUUGUUUUUGACUUCACCCUGAUCAUCAUGUUACGAUCAUGCUAUCCUGAUUUCCUUUGUCUGCAAAGGGAUAGUGAAUUCCUUCAUAUUUACUGGAAUUCUAACGUUUUCCCAGGAUUAUUGUGGCUUGGAAGAAGGUGACUCAAAAAAUCGUAUGGAAGUAUCUAGGUGGUGGGUUAUUUUUUUUUUAUUUUCUUUUGUUUUUGUUGAGAGUUAUGCAAGCACUCGGGGGAGGAAAAA